GACGAACGCUGGCGGCGUGCCUAAUACAUGCAAGUUGAGCGAAGUUUUUCUGGUGCUUGCACUAGAAAAACUUAGCGGCGAACGGGUGAGUAACACGUAAAGAACCUGCCUCAUAGACUGGGACAACUAUUGGAAACGAUAGCCAAUACCGGAUAACAGUAUUUCUCGCAUGAGAGAUAUUUAAAAGUUGGUUAUGCUAACACUAUGAGAUGGCUUUGCGGUGCAUUAGCUAGUUGGUGGGGUAAAGGCCCACCAAGGCGACGAUGCAUAGCCGACCUGAGAGGGUGAUCGGCCACACUGGGACUGAGACACGGCCCAGACUCCUACGGGAGGCAGCAGUAGGGAAUCUUCCGCAAUGGGCGAAAGCCUGACGGAGCAACGCCGCGUGAGUGAAGAAGGAUUUCGGUUCGUAAAGCUCUGUUGUUAGGGAAGAAUGGAUAUGUAGUAACUAUACAUGUAAGAGACGG
rnacentral:rRNA from 1 species